rnacentral:rRNA from 1 species
GUGAGGAAUAUUGCGCAAUGGAGGCAACUCUGACGCAGCCAUGCCGCGUGCAGGAAGAAGGCGCUACGCGUUGUAAACUGCUUUUAACCGGGAAGAAACCCCAGGACGUGUCCUGGGUUGACGGUACCGGAGGAAUAAGCACCGGCUAACUUCGUGCCAGCAGCCGCGGUAAUACGAAGGGUGCAAGCGUUAUCCGGAUUCAUUGGGUUUAAAGGGUGCGUAGGCGGAGCGUUAAGUCAGUGGUGAAAUCCUGCAGCUUAACUGUAGACUUGCCAUUGAUACUGGCGCUCUUGAGUGCGCUUGAAGUGGGCGGAAUGUGCCGUGUAGCGGUGAAAUGCUUAGAUAUGGCACAGAACACCAAUUGCGAAGGCAGCUCACUAAGGCGAUACUGACGCUGAGGCACGAAAAGCGUGGGGAUCGAACAGGAUUAGAUACCCCGGUAGUCC